rnacentral:rRNA from 1 species
UACGUAGGGGGCAAGCGUUGUCCGGAUUUAUUGGGCGUAAAGAGCGUGUAGGCGGCCAGGUAGGUCUGCUGUGAAAACUCGAGGCUCAACUGGGAGCUUGCAGGCGAAACUGCCGUGCUGGAGUGUGGGAGAGGUGCGUGGAAUUCCUGGUGUAGCGGUGGAAUGCGCAGAUAUCAGGAGGAACACCAAUAGCGAAGGCAGCUCGCUGGGACGGUACUGACGCUAAGGCGCGAAAGCGUGGGGAGCGAACAGG